rnacentral:rRNA from 1 species
GGGGAAUCUUGCACAAUGGAGGAAACUCUGAUGCAGCGAUGCCGCGUGAGUGAAGAAGGCCUUUGGGUUGUAAAGCUCUUUCGUCGGGGAAGAAAAUGACUGUACCCGAAUAAGAAGGUCCGGCUAACUUCGUGCCAGCAGCCGCGGUAAUACGAAGGGACCUAGCGUAGUUCGGAAUUACUGGGCUUAAAGAGUUCGUAGGUGGUUAAAAAAGUUGGUGGUGAAAUCCCAGAGCUUAACUCUGGAACUGCCAUCAAAACUUUUUAGCUAGAGUAUGAUAGAGGAAAGCAGAAUUUCUAGUGUAGAGGUGAAAUUCGUAGAUAUUAGAAAGAAUACCAAUUGCGAAGGCAGCUUUCUGGAUCAUUACUGACACUGAGGAACGAAAGCAUGGGUAGCGAAGAGG